AUUGAACGCUGGCGGCAGGCCUAACACAUGCAAGUCGAACGAGUGGCGGACGGGUGAGUAAUUUCUGGGAAACUGCCUGAUGGAGGGGGAUAACUACUGGAAACGGUAUCUAAUACCGCAUACCAUCGGAUGUGCCCAGAUGGGAUUAGCUAGGGGGUGGGGUAACGGCUCACCAAGGCGACGAUCCCUAGCUGGUCUGAGAGGAUGACCAGCCACAUUGGAACUGAGACACGGUCCAGACUCCUACGGGAGGCAGCAGUGGGGAAUAUUGCACAAUGGGCGAAAGCCUGAUGCAGCCAUGCCGCGUGUAUGAAGAAGGACUUCGGGUUGUAAAGUACUUUCAGCGGGGAAGCGUUAACCGAAGAAGAAGCACCGGCUAACUCUGUGCCAGCAGCCGCGGUAAUAC
rnacentral:rRNA from 1 species